rnacentral:rRNA from 1 species
GUGGCGAACGGGUGAGUAGCACGUGAGCAACCUGCCCCGAAGACUGGGAUAACACCGGGAAACCGGUGCUAAUACCGGAUACCCCCAUCUGAUCGCAUGAUCGGAUGAGGAAAUGUUUUUUCGCUUCGGGAGGGGCUCGCGGCCUAUCAGCUAGUUGGUGAGGUAAUAGCUCACCAAGGCUUCGACGGGUAGCUGGUCUGAGAGGACGAUCAGCCACACUGGGACUGAGACACGGCCCAGACUCCUACGGGAGGCAGCAGUGGGGAAUCUUGCGCAAUGGGCGAAAGCCUGACGCAGCAACGCCGCGUGGGGGACGAAUGCUUUCUGAGUUGUAAACCCCUUUCAGCUGGAACGAUGAUGACGGUACCAGCAGAAGAAGCACCGGCCAACUACGUGCCAGCAGCCGCGGUAAUACGUAGGGUGCAAGCGUUGUCCGGAUUUAUUGGGCGUAAAGAGCUCGUAGGCGGUUAGAUAAGUCGAGUGUGAAACCCCCAGGCUCAACCUGGGGACGCCACUUGAUACUGUCUUGACUAGAGUCCGGUAGGGGAUCACGGAAUUCCUGGUGUAGCGGUGAAAUGCGCAGAUAUCAGGAGGAACACCAGUAGCGAAGGCGGUGAUCUGGGCCGGUACUGACGCUGAGGAGCGAAAGCGUGGGGAGCGAACAGGAUUAGAUACCCUGGUAGUCCACGCCGUAAACGGUGGGCACUAGGUGUGGGGACUAUUCAACGGUUUCCGCGCCGCAGCUAACGCAUUAAGUGC